rnacentral:rRNA from 1 species
AUUGAACGCUGGCGGCAGGCCUAACACAUGCAAGUCGAGCGGAUGAAGGGAGCUUGCUCCUGGAUUCAGCGGCGGACGGGUGAGUAAUGCCUAGGAAUCUGCCUGGUAGUGGGGGAUAACGUCCGGAAACGGGCGCUAAUACCGCAUACGUCCUGAGGGAGAAAGUGGGGGAUCUUCGGACCUCACGCUAUCAGAUGAGCCUAGGUCGGAUUAGCUAGUUGGUGGGGUAAAGGCCUACCAAGGCGACGAUCCGUAACUGGUCUGAGAGGAUGAUCAGUCACACUGGAACUGAGACACGGUCCAGACUCCUACGGGAGGCAGCAGUGGGGAAUAUUGGACAAUGGGCGAAAGCCUGAUCCAGCCAUGCCGCGUGUGUGAAGAAGGUCUUCGGAUUGUAAAGCACUUUAGGUUGGGAGGAAGAGCAGUAAGUUAAUACCUUGCUGUUUUGACGUUACCAACAGAAUAAGCACCGGCUAACUUCGUG